CAAUUAAGAUCUUAAAUUACAAUGAUCAAUCAAAAUAGGAAGAGAAGAAAAGGAAUAUGUUUGUAAAACUAAGCUCCACUCGAGCAAAGAAUGAAAGAAAAAAAGACUUAAUCUUGAGAAUAGAGUGUUCACAUCCCUCAAAACUUCUAGCAUUCAGUUUUCAACUAAAUUUAUGAAUAUGCUACUUCUUAAUCACCUAAAAUUCAAUACCAUAGAGUAUAACUAGCCUAAUAGUAGUCCAAUAAAAUUUUCCCCCAAGAAUCUUUUGAUUUAUUUAUGGAUAUGGUCUACUCUUCAACUGUACGGGGGUUGGGUCCCAAUAAGGUUUGUUGGAAGCCAGCAAGGAGUAGAAAUUUGACGUUAGAGGAUUCUAUCUUUCUUUCUACCCUCCUACUCUCUUAUCCUUCCCUUGGAGAAUGAUAUGGCAAUCGAAGGUUCCUCCAAGGUGUUCUUCUUGUAUAGAGUAGCCUUUCGUUUUGUAUCAUUCUUACUUAUCAAAAAAAAAAAAAAAAAGGGUUCCUCCAAGGGUAGCUUUCUUUUCGACUGUACGGGGGUUGGGUCCCAAUAAGGUUUGUUGGAAGCCAGCAAGGAGUAGAGGUUUUGACGUUAGAGGAUUCUAUCUUUCUUUCUACCCUCCUACUCUCUUAUCCUUCCCUUGGAGAAUGAUAUGGCAAUCGAAGGUUCCUCCAAGGGUAGCUUUCUUUUCAUGGUCUUCUUCCUUAGGUAAGAUUUUAACAACAAAUAACCUUCGCAAAAGAUGUGUGCUAGUUCUUGAUUGGUACUAUAUGUGUAAGAGUUGUGGGGAGUCAACGGAUCAUCUUCUGCUUCAUUGCCUCAUAGCUUGUGAGUUGUGGUUGUUGGUGUUCUGUUUGUUUGGAAUCCACUGGGUUAUGCCUCACAAGGCUAUUGAGUUGUUUGAAUCUUGGCAAGGUAAGUUUGGACAACAUCUCAACAUAGAUUUUUGGAGACUUGUGCCUCAUUGCUUGAUAUGGUGUAUUUGGCGUGAAAGGAAUGCUAGAAGUUUUGAGAGAUGUGAACGUUCUACGCUAGAUAUUAAGUCUUGUUUUUUGCACACUCUCCUUGAUUGGAGUGUGGUUUUUUGUCAUCUUUCUUGUUCUUCCAUUACUGUUUUACUUAAUCGUUGUAAUUUUGGUUCCUGAUUUGUGCUCUCAUAGUACAUUCCCAAUAUACUCGGGUUGACUGUUUUCUUUUAUUUAAUAAAAUUUUACGUUACCUAUCCAAAAAAAAAAAAA